CGGGCCUUGCCCAUGGCUGUGUGCAGCGUGGUGGGCAGCUACCACGGCCCACGCGGCUUCCAUUUUUCUCAGCACCAGGCUACACAGUCAGAAUGGGUCAUGGAUGAGCCUCAGGAUGCUCAGCUCUUUCUAGGUGAUGACUAUGGUGAAUAUGCAGCAUGCCUGUGUUGCCUCCUCUUCACAUGGAAUCCUCUGAUACUACAUCAGCUUAAGUAUUGUCUACUGUAAUGAGGAUGCCACAAGAAAUUUCCAUUUUGUAAUUUAAACACAUUUUCUUGUGAUUUUGCAGCCUAAGUGCAGAAGUGUUUUCAUCUGCAGAAAUAAAGGAACAUUUGGAUAUAAACAUGAGAACUGAGGAUGGGGAGCGUAUAUGCAGGAGGGUGAUUUCUGCUCUCUCCUGCUUCCUUUACUCUGCCAAAUUUGAAGUAUGCAUUUUUGAAGCCAAGAUCAUGGACCAAAUGCUAUACAGCUAAACUCAUUUUACUAUGACUAGAUAGUUUAAAGUUACUACCGAUCUAUGUUAGUUUAGUUACAGAUUUUAAUGGACUUAUUCCAGAUGAGGCCUAGAUAAAGCAGCAGAAUUUUGUCAUAGGACUUGAUUUGUUAUACAAAGUGUCAUGAAUAUAGUGACACUGAAUAAAUAAUUUACAGUA